CGGGGUCCCCAGGGCCUCAUCUCCGACCGGCGGAACGGGGCCGGAGCGCUGAGGCUCGGUCCUGCCCUGCCUUGCCCUUACCCGGCGGGCUCCUCGUCUUCCCCCCCCACACCUGGAAAAGCGUCGUGGUGUGCUCCCUGCCUUAGAGCCCCAAAACGUGGGGGAGCGGUGCAGAGUGCAAGUGCAGCGCGAGUAGAGGGAAAACAAAGAGGCUGCCUGAGGAACGGGCUGUGCAUGGGGUGCUUGGAAACGGGAAGGGGUAGAUUGGCUGCUCAGGUAUCGUGGUGCUCAGGCUGCUCUUUGAGACACCUGCAGCAAGGCUGUUUCUUCAGGGGAUGUUAAGUCUGAGUAGCAGCCCAAAGAGUUCUCAUGUCCAACUUGAGCUGGUUAUCUUCCUCUUAAAACUGGUUGGAGAGACCACUGUCAAGACAGGCCAUCCCUCUUAAGAACUGAGCAUGUGUUUUUUCUUGUAAGCUUAUUUUUACUUCAGGAGCAGUCCCCUGACAUCACAUCUGCGUUCCAAGUCUGCUUCCAAACAUCUGCAACACACAAUUCUAUUCUUCCAGAGCUUAUUCAGGUGCUGUACACUGUUUCGCAUAAGUGUUAUGUUUCUAAUAUUAAAAGCUUAAGAGACUUUCGAU
rnacentral:lncRNA from 1 species